CAGCCGCCACGGGAAUACGAAGGGGGCUAGCGUUGCUCGGAAUCACUGGGCGUAAAGGGCGCGUAGGCGGGUCUUUAAGUCAGGGGUGAAAUCCUGGAGCUCAACUCCAGAACUGCCUUUGAUACUGAAGAUCUUGAGUUCGGGAGAGGUGAGUGGAACUGCGAGUGUAGAGGUGAAAUUCGUAGAUAUUCGCAAGAACACCAGUGGCGAAGGCGGCUCACUGGCCCGAUACUGACGCUGAGGCACGAAAGCGUGGAGAGCAAACAGGAUUAGAUACCCCUGUAGUCCCUGUCUCUUAUAC
rnacentral:rRNA from 1 species